UUGCAUUUAUUACCUUUCUAUCACAGGAUGUGUUGGUAAAUACCCAACUACUUUCCUGAAAUAAUUUUGGCAAUUGUGUUGAGCAGUGUUGUACUUAUAUCACAGUGGCUACCUCUGAAUCAACAUAGCAAAUAUAAAUAUAUUAUAUAUAUUUUUACAUAUAUAUAUAUAUAUAGAGAGAGAGAGAGAGAGUAUAUGUAUAUUUGAGAUGUUCUCACCCUGUUUCCUUCAAGAGAGAUACUCACAAGGAAAAACUGAAACUCUUUUCCCAUUGUCAAACAUAAAAACAUUUUCCUGGGGAAGUCCUGCUUACCAAAUGUGUCUGCAAACACUAACAGCAGUAGAGCAUGCCCAAAAGAUUGGCUUUGUCACCUUUACUCCUGAUAAAUGACAUUUUACUUUGUGUGCACUCACUGAAGUCAGCAAGGCUCGAGUAUGCAGAUAUUGAUUUUGAAUCCUGGACCAGAAUGUCUCGCUCUUCCCAAAUUCUAGAUUUUCCAGCAAUGCUGGUCACCAUUUCAACAGCUCUGAAACUGGAUGUUGCAGGUGUCUCACAUUGACAAUUGCAAUUUUACUGAUGCUGUGCAGCACAGGAUGUCCACUCUUAUUAAGUUUCAAGACACAGGAAAUGCAACUUAGUAACUGAAUGCAUAAAAAGGAAGCAGCGUUUUAAAGUUCAAGAAUUCAAGAAGAAUGGGGACAUCAGUACACAAUGAUAUGCAAAAAUAAAUUACAGACAUUCAAACUUCAAUAUGCUGGCUUCCUGAUCCCCAAAAGCCCACAGUGAGGAGGUGCAUGAAAGGGAAAUGAAGAACUGCCAGGCACUUGGAUCCUUAUUGUGAGGACUGACUGAAGAAAACAUGCAAAACACAAGGUGCUGCAUAGAAACCUUGGAAUCAGAAUGGACUCUGACUUGCCCGGUGCCUUUCCGUUUCAUGGGAUUUUUUCCGGAGGUUGACAAUAGGUGUUUUGCCUUGAAAGGCAAGCAUGACAAACUAUAAAGUCACGUCCUCAAUAUUCUGCUUUUGGGAGCCCAUUCACAGCUGAGGACCCCCAGUGAGUUGGACUCGGUGCAGACAGAACAAAUCCAGCUCUGGCUCUGAGGACAGCCCAUCCCACGCUGCGCCUCCCAUGGCCACGGGAGACUCACGCUGUAAAUGUUGAUGCAUUCAACACAUCUGCCACGCAUGCAGAUCAUGGAGACAGUGACAUUGCCUGGGACACUGGGGGCUUUGCAGCAGGGCCUAUCGGCUGCUAAAUACAUCAUUCAAAUGGAAACACUUUUCAAAAAAAAGGCUGGUGCUUGCCAUGGGAAUUCAGCUUUAGAAGAACAUGGCAGUGGAGCAGGACUUGUUAGGUCAAAUAUUUUAAAAAGUCCCCCAGUCAUGUAGGAACUUAAUUUCAGAUGUGAACUGGAAUUUAAUUUCAAGGAACAAAGAACUUAGGGCAUUUCUGCAAAGAGGGCUAGGUUCCCAUUUGACUUUUCAAAAUAUUACCCCAUCUGUUUAAAAAAGACCCUCCCACAUACAGACCCAGUCCUGACACUCCAGAACAGACAGAAAACAGCAGUAACUCUUUGCUGAUUUAGACCAGCACAGUGCCUGCCCGCUAACAAUAGCCAGAGGAGAAAACUCCUGUUACAGUCCUGCCAAUGGGACCUUUUUCCGUUUGUCAGUAAGUGAAUCCCAAAAUUUUACUGGAACCAAAUUAAAUUUGAAACCGAAAUCCUGUCCUACUCUGGUCCCUGUCUCUAUCACUGUUAGCUUGACUUUACAUUGAAGCCAUUAAAUAAAAAUGGCAUAGGACCAGUGACCUACCAUUUAGCAUCCGCUUGCAUUUUUUCCAUAAAAGUAAACCUGUUUCUCCUAGAAAUAGCUACAGGCAUUUGACUCAUUAAAUUUUUGUUUGAAUGGAUUUCUUUUUGAUCAAAAUCAAAUGUCAUUUCUGAGCUACCCCCCAAAAAAACUAUUAAAGCUCUUCCUAAAAACAAAGCAGACUUUCUGUCUUUUGAGUAGGGAUCAUAACUAAAGGCUGCUAUUUCUUUUUUCUAUGAAGUUAUUUCAGCAAUUAAAUAUAUUCAGAAAAGAUUUUUUCCCCUAGAAAGCAAAUAAUUGUGCCUUUCAAAAUAAUAAUAAGAGAGUGGAGGAAUUCAUUCAAAAUAAAUAGAAUUGUUCUCUGCUUUACAAUUCUUUUUGUAGGUCAAAAUAGGACAAUGUUUCUUGUCAAUAGAAAAAGCUCUGUAAGGGGAAACAUGUUGACAGUGGCUUCAAAGCAGUUUCAAACAAUGAAUGAUCCAGCAUACUUGGUUAAAAUCCCCCACAAAAAUCUUGAAUUUCCAAGACUGUAACCUCCCAAGGUUUGUUCCCGAGGCUGGUCUCCAUGCCCUGCUGAUGUUGGGUUUGCACUCACUGCUGGACUUUGCCCCCUGUUCUGCAGGUGAUGUUGUCCAGGAGAUUCCUGGCUCUGGUAAAACACCCCUGAGCUGCUGCAUAUUAUGUUUUCCCAAAUUAUCUGCUGGUUCAUUAAAACACACUGAAAAAUUCUAUACUUUCAAAAAGUCAAUGGGGGCAGCUGCAGGGACAUGAUUUCUCCUGGACAGAGCAAAACCACUGAGAUCUGAUCCAUAUCUAGACUUUUAAACAGUAAAAAAUCAGCAAGAUUUUGCUGAUUUCUUGCAGCUGAGGGACCUCCUGUACAUUUUUGAAGGACUACUACUGUUAUUAAAUACUUGCCACACUGAUAGAUGGAGCCACAGAGAAUCCUGCUGCAUGAGAAGUAUAUUGUGGUGGCCAUAGCUGGGAGAAAUUUGGCUUGGUUCCCUCGACUGCAUAAAUGUAAAGUCCACUUACACCAGCUGCGUGUCUGGCCCUAAAAUUUGAUUUAUCAUUUGGUCCCUUAGCC